rnacentral:lncRNA from 1 species
GGUUUUAUUUUGUUUGUGAACGCAGAACUAGGUUUGCGAAGGAAGGAAAGAUCACCAGCCUGCAAGAGGUCCCUCCUUGGCGUUCAUCUUACUUAAGAAAGGAAAACCCCUAUGGAUGGAGCGUGAUACUCCCUAAGAGGAACAUAGGAGGCUGUGGGUCGGGAAAGAAAGCAUGCAAUUUAAGCUGACAUGGAUGACCCGGAUUCCUUUAUUCUGGCAGAAGAGCCAGAUUCAACCCUAGUUUAUAAAGGUUCUCCAGCUGAGAUCGGAGUCCAGCUGCGUUAG